rnacentral:rRNA from 1 species
CCACUGGGGGCUGCCUAAUACUGCAAGUCGAGCGGACCGACGGGAGCUUGCUCCCUUAGGUCAGCGGCGGACGCCUGAGUAACACGUGGGUAACCUGCCUGUAAGACUGGGAUAACUCCGGGAAACCGGGGCUAAUACCGGAUGCUUGAUUGAACCGCAUGGUUCAAUCAUAAAAGGCGGCUUCGGCUGCCGUUUACAGAUGGACCCGCGGCGCAUUAGCUAGUUGGUGAGGUAACGGCUCACCAAGGCGACGAUGCGUAGCCGACCUGAGAGGGUGAUCGGCCACACUGGGACUGAGACACGGCCCAGACUCCUACGGGAGGCAGCAGUAGGGAAUCUUCCGCAAUGGACGAAAGUCUGACGGAGCAACGCCGCGUGAGUGAUGAAGGUUUUCGGAUCGUAAAGCUCUGUUGUUAGGGAAGAACAAGUACCGUUCGAAUAGGGCGGUACCUUGACGGUACCUAACCAGAAAGCCACGGCUAACUACGUGCCAGCAGCCGCGGUAAUACGUAGGUGGCAAGCGUUGUCCGGAAUUAUUGGGCGUAAAGCGCGCGCAGGCGGUUUCUUAAGUCUGAUGUGAAAGCCCCCGGCUCAACCGGGGAGGGUCAUUGGAAACUGGGGAACUUGAGUGCAGAAGAGGAGAGUGGAAUUCCACGUGUAGCGGUGAAAUGCGUAGAGAUGUGGAGGAACACCAGUGGCGAAAGCGACUCUCUGGUCUGUAACUGACGCUGAGGCGCGAAAGCGUGGGGAGCGAACAGGAUUAGAUACCCUGGUAGUCCACGCCGUAAACGAUGAGUGCUAAGUGUUAGAGGGUUUCCGCCUUUUAGUGCUGCAGCAAACGCAUUAAGCACUCCCCCUGGGGAGAACGGUCCCCAGAAUGAAACUCAAAGGAAAUGACGGGGGCCCGCACAAACGGUGGAGCAUGUGGUUUAAUUCGAAACAACCGCAAAAAACCUUACCAGUCUUGGCAUCCUCUGAAAUCCCUAAAAAAAGGCUUCCCCUUCGGGGGGAAAAGGACGGGGGGGAAGGGUUGUCUUCCCCCCGUGCCCGGAAAUGUUGGGUUAAAUCCCCCAAACAACGCCACCCCCUUAACUUUAAUUCCCAACAUUUCAUUUGGGGCCCCCUUAGGGGGAAAUGGCCGGGGACAAACCCGGAAAAAAGGGGGGGGAAGAACACCCAAAUUAUCCUUCCUCCUUUUUAACACGGGGCCCCAAACCACGUGUU